AUCUGGUCAGGACGAACGCCGGCGGCGUGCCUAACACAUGCAAGUCGAGCGAGGAGAUCCUUCGGGAUGAUCCUAGCGGCGGACGGGUGAGUAACACGUGGGCAACCUGCCUCAUAGAGAGGAAUAGCCUUCCGAAAGGGAGAUUAAUACCUCAUAACAUUGCAGUUUCGCAUGGAACAGCAAUUAAAGGAGUAAUCCGCUAUGAGAUGGGCCCGCGGCGCAUUAGCUAGUUGGUGAGGUAACGGCUCACCAAGGCGACGAUGCGUAGCCGACCUGAGAGGGUGAUCGGCCACAUUGGGACUGAGACACGGCCCAGACUCCUACGGGAGGCAGCAGUGGGGAAUAUUGCACAAUGGGGGAAACCCUGAUGCAAGCAACGCCGCGUGAGUGAUGACGGCCUUCGGGUUGUAAAGCUCUGUCUUCAGGGACGAUAAUGACGGUACCUGAGGAGGAAGCCACGGCUAACUACGUGCCAGCAGCGGC
rnacentral:rRNA from 1 species